UACGAAGGGGGCUAGCGUUGUUCGGAAUUACUGGGCGUAAAGGGCGCGUAGGCGGUGUGUCAAGUCAGGCGUGAAAGCCCCGGGCUCAACCUGGGAACAGCGCUUGAGACUGGCACGCUCGAGUUCGGGAGAGGAUGGUGGAAUUCCCGGUGUAGCGGUGAAAUGCGCAGAUAUCGGGAGGAACACCUAUGGCGAAGGCAGCUCGCUGGGACGUUACUGACGCUGAGACGCGAAAGCGUGGGGAGCAAACAGG
rnacentral:rRNA from 1 species